AUAUAGAGGACAGAUUUAAGAUUCCACAUGGUUAGCCGAAAGUUUCUGGCUCUGGAGUCAUUUUUUUGUAGCCAUUAUUUUUGAAAUUUGUAUUUCUUUCUUUUUAAUUUUUGGGUGGUUAACUGUUUGAGCACUCUAUUUCUUUCCACCCUAGAAUUGUACUAUUUUUCCUAGUUUGUGAUUGAAAACGGAACUGGUAGAUGCUUUCUUUCCAUGAUUAGUUUGUGUUGAUAUGCAAUUUUGACUUGUGCUUCCUAUUUUUCUGAGGUAGAAAAGGUAGUCAUGGACAUACAAAAUGGUUUAUGAAUUUCUUCCCCCUUGAUAAUUUUACAAGUUAAUUGUAGAUAGUUUAUGAUUUUUAGUAGUUUCAGGUUGACUAUUUUUUCG
rnacentral:misc_RNA from 1 species